CCGCCGUGCUGACUGCUGUGUGCAUGUCCGUGGGUUAAACCCGUGUUUAAAAUAUCCCCAGCGAGACUCGGUACACCGGCAUAGAGUUUUCUCGCAUCACCUUUCCCACAAGAGUGGAUUUUGGCGGGUGGGUACACCUAAAAAUGCUCCAUGGUGAACACCUGGUUUGAUGAAAGAUUAUUUGUUCCAUAAAGUUUACAUAGUCAUUAUUAGUCAUUUUGCUUUCUUAGAGGCUGCUGUUUAGCAGACAGCAUCUAGGCAGGCAGGCAGGUUUACCUGGCGCUACUUGCAAACCAAGCAGGGGUUGGGUACCAGCUGCCGUGACGAGUGACACGGGGUUUGUUUCCUUCUGGAGCUCCUCCUGAUCUGUGUCUGCUUUUGUUCCAGGCUCUGCUGUCACCCAUCUCUUCAGAGUGUGUUUAAGGCACCCAAACUGCUGGUACCAAGGCGAGCACAGCUCUACCUCACCCGGAAUUUUACUCUCAGCCCCGUUAUUGGUGUUCCGACACGUGUUGGCUGGACAGUUGCUGUAGGACAGAUCAAGCAGUUCUUGUCUGAAAAUCUGGAGUCCAGUGUAACCAAGUGGAAAGUGAAGAUAUUUGCUGACGUAGAAAUAUUUUUAACAGGGAAAUGCAGCUGAAAAACUGAGAGCUUUUCAUGAGGUCUCAAAUGAAUGUAGCCCAGUCUUCUUCCAGAAAAAAAUGGUCAUCACCUGCAAAGCUUUCCCAGAGAGAUGAGAUGAGAAGGUAAUGCAAAGAGAAUAGAAAUACAUUUUGCGUGUUGAUUAAGUUUAUUUGUGAAGCAUUGUAUAUGACAUUAAUUGACACGUUAAAGCUCUCAAACGUGGCAUCAUCAGGCAUUCCUAAGACUUACAGUUAGUGAUUGUGGCCUAAAAUAUCCUUGAACUGAGCAAUUUUGCUGUUGUUUUCAUUUUGGUAUUUUCUGAAACUAUCCACCGGCUUCAGUCUGAAGUAAAGCUCUAAUUUUGAACUGCUGUUGCUUAUUCAUAGUAAUUUUCAACUCUUUUUGGCUUUUUCCUUGUGUACAAUAGCUUGCCCUCAAAAAAUAGCUGUCUGCAACCAGGAGGUUCUACUGAAGCUGGAAAUUGUCCAUGAAAAUUUGAACUGGGAAACAGUGGCUGAUGGUUUGGAGUGUCAGUUGAACAGUGUUCAUCAUGGUCACAAGUUAUAAACCCAAAUUAAACAUUUUGUGAAAUUUCUCUCGAGAAUAGUUGCACAAACCUAGUUGUGCCGUGUAAAAUUCAGCUCAGUCACCCAAACCUCUGGUGAUCUUUCAGCUGAGUUCAGGUGACACACAAAUUGGUGCCUUUAUAUAUAUACUCUGUGUAACCUGUGUUUCCUUUGGUAAAGAUACUUUUAAAGAUUAAGUAUUUUGUGAAAGAUAACUGCCCACAUGCAAGGUGAUUGUAACAGAAAAGUUAAACUGUAGUAUCUAUUUAGUAAUAAGGGUAAACUUUAUCAAAAAAGUAAGUCUUUUAUAAUUAGAAGUAAUCAGUGUACUUCAUGUAACCUGGCAGCAAAUGACUGUGCACCCACAGGGCUACUUAGGUUCAAAACCAAUUUGGUAAUCUUCCAACUGGAAAUUACAAUAAAUUAAGGUCAUUUCUCCA
ensembl:lncRNA